rnacentral:rRNA from 1 species
UAGGGAAUCUUGCGCAAUGGGCGAAAGCCUGACGCAGCGACGCCGCGUGCGGGAUGAAGGUCUUCGGAUUGUAAACCGCUUUCAGCAGGGACGAAAUUGACGGUACCUGCAGAAGAAGCCCCGGCCAACUACGUGCCAGCAGCCGCGGUAAUACGUAGGGGGCGAGCGUUGUCCGGAUUUAUUGGGCGUAAAGAGCUCGUAGGCGGUUUGGUAAGUCACGUGUGAAAUCUCCACGCUCAACGUGGAGGCGCCACGUGAGACUGCUAUGACUAGAGUCCGGUAGAGGAGUGUGGAAUUCCCGGUGUAGCGGUGAAAUGCGCAGAGAUCGGGAGGAACACCCGUAGCGAAGGCGGCACUCUGGGCCGGUACUGACGCUGAGGAGCGAAAGCGUGGGGAGCAAACAG